GCGGUUGUAGCUCAGUUGGUAGAGCAUUGGCUUCCCAAGCCAAGAGUCGCGAGUUCGAGUCUCGUCUGCCGCU
rnacentral:tRNA from 1 species